rnacentral:rRNA from 1 species
UGGGGAAUCUUGCACAAUGGGCGCAAGCCUGAUGCAGCCAUGCCGCGUGAAUGAUGAAGGCCUUAGGGUUGUAAAAUUCUUUCAUCAGGGACGAUAAUGACGGUACCUGAAGAAGAAGCCCCGGCUAACUUCGUGCCAGCAGCCGCGGUAAUACGAAGGGGGCUAGCGUUGUUCGGAAUUACUGGGCGUAAAGCGCACGUAGGCGGGGUAUCAAGUUAGGGGUGAAAGCCCGGGGCUCAACCUCGGAACUGCCUUUAAAACUGAUACUCUAGAGUCCGGAAGAGGGUCGCUGAAUUCCCAGUGUAGAGGUGAAAUUCGUAGAUAUUGGGAAGAACACCGGUGGCGAAGGCGGCGACCUGGUCCGGUACUGACGCUGAGGCGCGAAAGCGUGGGGAGCAAACAGGAUUAGAUACCCCCGUAGUCC